rnacentral:rRNA from 1 species
AGUGGCGGACGGGUGAGUAACGCGUGGGCAACCUGCCCUGUACCGGGGGACAACAGCCAGAAAUGGCUGCUAAUACCGCAUAAGCCUGCUGUGCCGCAUGGCACAGCAGGGAAAACCACGGUGGUACAGGAUGGGCCCGCGUCUGAUUAGUUAGUUAGCAGGGUAACGGCCUACCAAGACGAUGAUCAGUAGCCGGCUUGAGUGAGUGGACGGCCACAUUGGGACUGAGACACGGCCCAGACUCCUGCGGGAGGCAGCAGUGGGGAAUAUUGCACAAUGGGGGGAACCCUGAUGCAGCAAUGCCGCGUGGGUGAAGAAGCACUCCGGUGCGUAAAGCCCUGUCAGCAGGGAAGAAAAUGACAGUACCUGACCAAGAAGCCCCGGCUAACUACGUGCCAGCAGCCGCGGUAAUACGUAGGGGGCAAGCGUUAUCCGGAUUUACUGGGUGUAAAGGGAGCGCAGGCGGUAUGGCAAGUCAGAUGUGAAAACCCAGGGCUCAACCCUGGGACUGCAUUUGAAACUGCCAUACUGGAGUGCCGGAGAGGUAAGUGGAAUUCCUAGUGUAGCGGUGAAAUGCGUAGAUAUUAGGAGGAACACCAGUGGCGAAGGCGGCUUACUGGACGGUAACUGACGCUGAGGCUCGAAAGCGUGGGGAGCAAACAGGAUUAGAUACCCUGGUAGUCCACGCCGUAAAC